AGAACCGGCGCAGCGCCGGAGGCCGCGUGCGGGACGUCACCCUGCGCCGCGACGGCGCCGCCAUCGUUACCUUCCAGGACCCUGAGGGUGGGUGCCGCGCCGACACCGACGCCGGGUGGGGGUCCCGGGGUCACCAGCGUAAUUUGGGGUCCCAGUGUUUUACUGCGGUUUGGGGGUCCCGGGGUCAGUGUCCCAUUUUUGGGGGUCCUGGUGUCACCGCUGUGGUUUGGGGUCUCAGGGUCAGUGUCCCAGUUUGGGGGUCCCAGUGUCCCUGUCCCAGUUUGGGGGUCCUGGUGUCACCGCUGUGGUUUGGGGUCCUGGAGUCCCUGUCCCAGUUUGGGGGUCCCACUGUCACCACCACAAUUUGGGGUCCCGGUGUCCCUGCCCCUCUUUGGGGGUCCCAGUGUCCCUGUCCCAGUUUGGGGGUCCCAGUGUCACUGCUGUAGUUUGGGGGUCCCAGUGUCACUGCUGUAGUUUGGGGGUCCCAGUGUCAGUGUCCCAGUUUGGGGGUCCCAGUGUCACUGCUGUGGUUUGGGGUCCCGGUGUCAGCGUCCCAGUUUGGGGGUCCCAAGGUCACCACCACAAUUUGGGGGUCCCGGUGUCCCUGGUCCCAGUUUGGGGGUCCCCAGGUCACCACCGCAAUUUGGGGUCCCAGUGUCCCUGUCCCAGUUUGGGGGUCCUGGUGUCACCACUGAGGUUUGGGGUCCCAGUGUCUCUGUCCCAGUUUGGGGGUCCUGGGGUCAGUGUCCCAUUUUUGGGGGUCCCAGGGUCAGUGUCCCAGUUUGGGGGUCCCAGUGCCACCACCGCAAUUUGGGGGUCCCAGUGUCCCUGGUCCCAGUUUGGGAGUCCCAGUGUCCAUGUCCCAGUUUGGGGGUCCCCGUGUCACCGCUGUGGUUUGGGGUCCCAGUGUCCCUGUCCCAGUUGGGGGGGUCCCCAGGUCACCACCGCAAUUUGGGGUCCCAGUGUCAGUAUCCCAGUUGGGGGGGUCCCGGUGUCACCACCU
rnacentral:lncRNA from 1 species